CUUACCAAUUACCAACACUGUGCUCAUGCGGAGAAUUUUAAAGCUACUAAAAGAUUGUUUGAGAUUAUCAAAGGCAUUGCAAAUUAUGGAGUCAAGUACGAAUGAUUGCAAGAAAUUAACUUUCAUGGAUUUUCUGAUACUGAUUGCGCAGGUCCAAUUGAAGAUAUUGAAAAGUACAUAUAGAUACUACUUAUCACUAGGAUCUGAAAUAUUUGUAGAGUUCAAAUAAGCAAGAAGUUGUAGCAUAAUCAACAACAGAAGUACAAUUUAUAGCUAUUGCAGGACUGCUAUCAAGCAGCUUGUGUCAGACAAUUAUUGGUUUAUUUGCAAACGGAGUAAAAGAAAGACCAAGACUAUGAAGCUACUAUUGCAAUUUUGAAAAUCAAGCAAUAUCUAAGGAAGAACAAAGCACUUUUAUAUAUAUGUGUGUGUAUAAUUAUUUAUUUCUCA
rnacentral:lncRNA from 1 species